CUACGGGUUGCAGCAGUGGGGAAUAUUGCACAAUGGAGGAAACUCUGAUGCAGCAACGCCGCGUGGAGGAUGACACUUUUCGGAGCGUAAACUCCUUUUAUAUAGGAAGAUAAUGACGGUACUAUAUGAAUAAGCACCGGCUAACUCCGUGCCAGCAGCCGCGGUAAUACGGAGGGUGCAAGCGUUACUCGGAAUCACUGGGCGUAAAGAGCGUGUAGGCGGAUAGAUAAGUCAGGAGUGAAAUCCUAUGGCUCAACCAUAGAACUGCUCUUGAAACUGUCUAUCUAGAAUAUGGGAGAGGGAGAUGGAAUUUCUGGUGUAGGGGUAAAAUCCGUAGAGAUCAGAAGGAAUACCGAUUGCGAAGGCGAUCUACUGGAACAUUAUUGACGCUGAGACGCGAAAGCGUGGGGAGCAAACAGGAUUAGAUACCCCAGUAGUC
rnacentral:rRNA from 1 species